GGGGCAGUAUUUCAGUGGUAGAGCUCCCGCUUCAUAUGCGGCAAGACCUGGGUUCGAUUCCUGGCUGAUUCU
rnacentral:tRNA from 1 species